rnacentral:rRNA from 1 species
AGUGAACGCUGGCGGUAGGCCUAACACAUGCAAGUCGAACGGCAGCACAGGAGAGCUUGCUCUCUGGGUGGCGAGUGGCGGACGGGUGAGGAAUACAUCGGAAUCUACUCUGUCGUGGGGGAUAACGUAGGGAAACUUACGCUAAUACCGCAGACGACCUACGGGUGAAAGCAGGGGAUCUUCGGACCUUGCGCGAUUGAAUGAGCCGAUGUCGGAUUAGCUAGUUGGCGGGGUAAAGGCCCACCAAGGCGACGAUCCGUAGCUGGUCUGAGAGGAUGAUCAGCCACACUGGAACUGAGACACGGUCCAGACUCCUACGGGAGGCAGCAGUGGGGAAUAUUGGACAAUGGGCGCAAGCCUGAUCCAGCCAUACCGCGUGGGUGAAGAAGGCCUUCGGGUUGUAAAGCCCUUUUGUUGGGAAAGAAAUCCAGCUGGCUAAUACCCGGUUGGGAUGACGGUACCCAAAGAAUAAGCACCGGCUAACUUCGCGCCAGCCGCCGCGGUAA